UUUCGGUUUUGCAAUUGGAAUGAGAACAAUUUAAAUCCCUUAUCGAGUAACAAUUGGAGGGCAAGUCUGGUGCCAGCAGCCGCGGUAAUUCCAGCUCCAAUAGCGUAUAUUAAAGUUGUUGCAGUUAAAAAGCUCGUAGUUGAACUUUGGGUAAGACUAAGCGGUCCAUCGAAAGAUGAGACUGUGGGUCGAGCCUCUUUGAGGGAGCAGGUCUUUGGCCUGACGAACUCGUGUUACUGUGAAGAAAUUAGAGUGUUUAAAGCAGGCGAUCGCUUGAAUACAUCAGCAUGGAAUAACAAGAUAGGACUAGAGUUCUACUUGUUGGUUUGAGGGCUUUAGUAAUGAUUAAUAGGGCCAGUUGGGGGCAUUAGUAUUCAGUAGUCAGAGGUGAAAUUCUUGGAUUUACUGAAGACUAACUAGUGCGAAAGCAUUUGCCAAGGAUGUUUUCAUUAAUCAAGAACGAAAGUUAGGGGAUCGAAGACGAUCAGAUACCGUCGUAGUCUUAACUAUAAACGAUGCCGACUAAGGAUCAGCAGAAGUCGAUUUCGACUCUGUUGGCACUUUGUGAGAAAUCAAAGUUUUUGGGUUCUGGGGGGAGUAUGGUCGCAAGGCUGAAACCUAAAGGAAUUGACGGAAGGGCACCACCAGGAGUGGAGCCUGCGGCUUAAUUUGACACAACACGGGAAAACUCACCAGGUCCGGACAUAGUAAGGAUUGACAGAUUGAGAGCUCUUUCUUGAUUCUGUGGGUGGUGGUGCAUGGCCGUUCUUAGUUGGUGGAGUGAUUUGUCUGGUUAAUUCCGAUAACGAACGAGACCUUAACCUGCUAACUAGUUGCGUGUACGAGAGUAUGCGAGACUUCUUAGAGGGACUGACUAUGUUUAAUAGUCGGAAGUUUGAGGCAAUAACAGGUCUGUGAUGCCCUUAGAUGUUCUGGGCUGCACGCGCGCUACACUGACAAAGUCAGCGAGUACUACCUUGGCCGAGAGGUCUGGGAAAUCUUGUGAAACUUUGUCGUGCUGGGGAUAGAUCAUUGCAAUUAUUGGUCUUGAACGAGGAAUUCCUAGUAAGCGCAAGUCAUCAGCUUGCGUUGAUUACGUCCCUGCCCUUUGUACACACCGCCCGUCGCUACUACCGAUUGAAUGGCUUAGUGAGGCCUUUGGAUCGGCCGAUUCUUCGCAAGGAGUGUUGGUCUGAAAAAUUGGACAAACUUGGUCAUUAAGAGGAAGUAAAAGUCGU
rnacentral:rRNA from 1 species